CAAGUUUUUAAAUUCUAGUCACAUGGCACUUACACAAACAACAUUUUAUUGGAAAGAAGGUACUUUUCAGCAGGACCUUUUCCCAGAUUCUGGAGGUGUCUGAUCUCUGUACUCUUCUCCUUAUGGAGCCACCCCUGAAGGAUGAGCAAUCCUUUAGACAAGCUCAUCAUUGUGGCUUAAAUGCAGGCAAGAAAGUUCUUCACAUUAAGAGGUUAGUAUCCUUAUUUUGACAACGGUGUCAUACCUAACUUGGAUGAAUCUGAGUUCUUUAACCAAGAACAUAAAGGACAUGUAAUGCACACCUCACAGGCCAGACAUAAUCAUUGACAAGAACAAGAAGGGGGUGAUUAUGCCUUGGUUUACUUAUGUAUAAAAUGGAGAUAAUAAUGUUACUUGUCU
rnacentral:lncRNA from 1 species